rnacentral:ncRNA from 2 species
UAACUACGACUUCUCCGAAUCGUACGGCCUACCGGGAUACUCCCCAAGGUCUGCGAUCUACGGGUUCGGCUGGAAACGGCCGCGCCUCCCUUUUGGAAAGGAGAACCCCCGAUUGCGCC